rnacentral:rRNA from 1 species
UAGUGGCGAACGGGUGAGUAACACGUGGGCAAUCUGCCCUUCACUCUGGGACAAGCCCUGGAAACGGGGUCUAAUACCGGAUAACACUCCUGUCCUCCUGGACGGGGGUUAAAAGCUCCGGCGGUGAAGGAUGAGCCCGCGGCCUAUCAGCUUGUUGGUGAGGUAAUGGCUCACCAAGGCGACGACGGGUAGCCGGCCUGAGAGGGCGACCGGCCACACUGGGACUGAGACACGGCCCAGACUCCUACGGGAGGCAGCAGUGGGGAAUAUUGCACAAUGGGCGAAAGCCUGAUGCAGCGACGCCGCGUGAGGGAUGACGGCCUUCGGGUUGUAAACCUCUUUCAGCAGGGAAGAAGCGAAAGUGACGGUACCUGCAGAAGAAGCGCCGGCUAACUACGUGCCAGCAGCCGCGGUAAUACGUAGGGCGCAAGCGUUGUCCGGAUUUAUUGGGCGUAAAGAGCUCGUAGGCGGCUUGUCACGUCGGGUGUGAAAGCCCGGGGCUUAACCCCGGGUCUGCAUUCGAUACGGGCUAGCUAGAGUGUGGUAGGGGAGAUCGGANUCCUGGUGACGGAAAAAANCCCCAAA